rnacentral:rRNA from 1 species
CAGCCGCCGCGGGAAUACGUAGGUGGCAAGCGUUGUCCGGAAUUAUUGGGCGUAAAGGGCUCGCAGGCGGUUUCUUAAGUCUGAUGUGAAAGCCCCCGGCUCAACCGGGGAGGGUCAUUGGAAACUGGGAAACUUGAGUGCAGAAGAGGAGAGUGGAAUUCCACGUGUAGCGGUGAAAUGCGUAGAGAUGUGGAGGAACACCAGUGGCGAAGGCGACUCUCUGGUCUGUAACUGACGCUGAGGAGCGAAAGCGUGGGGAGCGAACAGGAUUAGAUACCCCUGUAGUCCCUGUCUCUUUACA